rnacentral:rRNA from 1 species
AUUGAACGCUGGCGGCAGGCUUAACACAUGCAAGUCGAGCGGAGAUGAGGUGCUUGCACCUUAUCUUAGCGGCGGACGGGUGAGUAAUGCUUAGGAAUCUGCCUAUUAGUGGGGGACAACAUUCCGAAAGGGAUGCUAAUACCGCAUACGUCCUACGGGAGAAAGCAGGGGAUCUUCGGACCUCGCGCUAAUAGAUGAGCCUAAGUCGGAUUAGCUAGUUGGUGGGGUAAAGGCCUACCAAGGCGACGAUCUGUAGCGGGUCUGAGAGGAUGAUCCGCCACGCUGGGACUGAGACACGGCCCAGACUCCUACGGGAGGCAGCAGUGGGGAAUAUUGGACAAUGGGGGGAACCCUGAUCCAGCCAUGCCGCGUGUGUGAAGAAGGCCUUAUGGUUGUAAAGCACUUUAAGCGAGGAGGAGGCUACUGAGACUAAUACUCUUGGAUAGUGGACGUUACUCGCAGAAUAAGCACCGGCUAACUCUGUGCCAGCCGCCGCGGUAA